UCAGAUGUCAUGUUUUAAACAAGCAAGCUGAAUCCCUGGGUGCUGGUACAGACAAAGUGACAGAAUUAUACCCAGAGCGAGGCAGGGUUGAAAUCAGUCCCACAGACUUGUGGAGUAAAAUCAGACAUGUUGUGGACAUUGCCAUCCUAAGUGAGUAAUCCCCUUUCGGUACUUCCAUUUUGAUAACAAACGGAUUCUUUCCAGUUCGCUAAAUUUGACCGACUACAUUUGAAAACUCUGGUGCAUUAUAUUCCGCGCUAACGUAUUUACUACUAAGCCAUAGCUUCUUGUGUGACAUUGGUCACCUGUGUAGAAAGUUUUGCAAAGAUUAAACUUGUAUCAGUGCACCACGGGAGCCAUAGGCAAUCAGAUAAAAAGUGUAGGAUUUUUAGUUACAGUACCACAACGUUUCAAAAUUGUGUUCUCACUAGACACCAGUGAAAAAUAACGUGUUCAGUUAUUUUUACUGUGAAAUGGCAAGUGACAGGAUGAAGAUAGAGAACCUCAACCCGAAACUCUUCCAAAAGAGUGAAAGACGUGAGGUGGCACCUGAGGAUGAGGAUGAUGCAGUCGAGGACCAGUUUGACGCCCGAGAAAUUUUUGACUUGAUACGUUCCAUCAACGAUCCAGAACAUCCCUUAUCUCUCGAAGAGCUGGAUGUUGUGAAACAAAGUCUCAUCAAUGUUGACAAUGAAAAGGGUCUAGUCGAAAUUCAAUUCACACCGACGAUUCCGCAUUGCAGUAUGGCAACUCUGAUUGGGCUUUCGAUUCGAGUUCAACUCAUCAGGGCUCUUCCUACACGCUUCAAGGUCAAGGUGGAGAUCACGCCUGGCACGCACGCCUCUGAAGCUGCAGUCAACAAACAGUUAGCGGACAAAGAACGUGUUGCCGCAGCACUUGAGAAUGUGAACCUACUCCAGGUGAUCAAUCAGUGUAUAGCAACCAGUAUUGCUUGAGUGAAUUUUUCUGCUGUUUCUAAACAAGAAUAGAAGUGUUUAAUCUUCUGGGAAGAAUAGCAGGAGUAAAAGUUUGAGCCACCUGUUUUCCUAAAUAACCAUUUUUUUCUUUCAAGUUUAGUGUUAGGUUACAUUCAGUGUUAAAAUCACUAAAGCACAUUGGUGGACACCCAUACUUAGCAUCACAGUGGUGAUACAAAAUUUCCCCUGGCACUUCAUUUUUUAUGAGAAAAUUACAGACAUGCUUUGUGAGAAAUGUUCAACGAUUAAAUCCUCUAUUCUCAGAAACAAGGAUAUAUGCCUUUUUAAUUCUACCACGAGGGGGGACCUAAAAAAAUCGGAAUUUCGCUGUAACUUAGCAACGGUGGAAAAUAUCCGGGUUUUGCAGCUAGGAGGUGUAACUAGGAGCUAUGAAGAGUCACUAGGCCAAAUUUCGACUUCGUAGCACAUUUUUUUCCAUUUUGGCGAGCCCUCGCGUAAGGGAUGUUCUCUGAGCUCUUCGUUUUUGAAGAUAGGUGAUCUUCAUAGGCAAUGCGUGGCUAAACUCUGUCAAUUUUUGGCGAAUCUUGCAGGGAACAUGCUUUACCUACAACAUAAGUGGACAAAUGUUUUUCUUUGUUUUAAAAAGUGAAUUAUCGUUCGAAUGCCAGCUGAACGCCAGGUGGCCAUCACUGGCUAGAGCACAAAAUGGGGGAUCCAUUCGGCAACAACGCGUUUUAGGCCCAAAUUUUUCACAGCAAUGUUCUGAAUAUUUCUGUGUUACAUUUAAGUGAUAUCUGCUAGUUAAUUAAAUGAUAUUUAGCCAUCUUCAUUUAUAAAAACGCGAUUUUUUACAUAUUUUCAUCGCUAGCCGAUGGCAAUAGUGGUUUAGAGCCGUACAAGGGUUUCGGGCGGAACAGCAUCAUUUUUUAACAAAAAACCGUACUCACGCUGAAGUUUUUGAUGAGGCUUGUCCUUCAGAAGCAACACUUCAAAAGGUAAACAGAGGAAGCCGAAUUUUCAUCGAGUACUAGAGAAAAAUUUGAGCACUAAGUGUUGUUACUGAAAUUGACCGAUCUUCAAAAACGACGAAGUUGCCGAACACCCCUAAAGCCAAGUCUCGCCAAAAUGAAAGAAAAUGUGCUGCGAUGUUGAAAUUUGGCCGAGUGACUCUUCACAGCUCCUAGUUACACCUCCUAGCGGUGGAACUCGAAUAUUUUCCAUCGUUACCAAGUUACAGCAAAAUUCCGGUUUUUUUGGGGUUCCCCCUCGUAUUUGUACCUUGGAACUUGAAUUAUGUGAGUUUAUUUAUUUAUUUUAUUCAUUUACAAUUGGUACAUGGGAGCCAACAUGAUGGCUAUCAUGCAAGUCAGUGUUCACAAGGAGAAAUGUCAAAUUUUUAAUUUGUGGGACAGAAUUCUUCCUUCAAUAUUUAUUGACCCUGAUUAAGGGCAUUUGUGAAGUUUGGGUCUCCGCUUUAAUAAUAUUCCAGACCAUUUUAUUUUUGUUUUUUGAAUUACUAAGUUUUGUAUCAUUACAGUUUUUUUUUUUCAAUUUAUACAGUAACUUCUUGAGUCAUCUGUUUGCGUUAUUCCAUUCCCUCUUAAAUUGUUUAGAACCAGUAUCUUUAUACUUAUCACAAUUGCCUUUUGCGCCCACUUGAUUCAAUUACCUCAGCAUUAUAGUAAUAGUCAAGACAUUUCCUACUUCUCAUUUAGGUAAGUGGACAAAUUGAUUCCAUAGAACUGUAUAGCAAAUCGUUAAAUCUUGAAAAUUCACUUGAUACCCUAUCCUUGCAUACAAGUAAUAUUGAGAUCAUGUACACUAGCAAGGUUCUUAGUUUUUGUUUGUUUUCAUUAGACCAGAUUCGACGACUAUGGACAAAUUCUGAUUUUCUCGCUAUUUUAGUAGGUACUAUCGAUUUCAACAAUUGGUGCCCUAUGAUCUGAUAAACCUGGAUCAAACAUUAAAGAGUUGGUCAUAGGAAGAUUAGAAAUACAAUUAUCAAUCAUUGUUUUAGAUUCUUUGCAAACACGUGAUGGAGUACUGCUGAAAAUGGGCUAUGAAUUGUAGGUUG